rnacentral:rRNA from 1 species
UCGAACGCGUCUUGGUUAUUGAUGUUGGAUGCUUGCAUUUAACUGAUUUAACAUUGAGACGAGUGGCGAACUGGUGAGUAACACGUGGGUAACCUGCCCUUGAAGUAGGGGAUAACACUUGGAAACAGGUGCUAAUACCGUAUAACAACCAAAACCACCUGGUUUUGGUUUAAAAGAUGGCUUCGGCUAUCACUUUAGGAUGGACCCGCGGCGUAUUAGCUUGUUGGUAAGGUAACGGCCUACCAAGGCAAUGAUACGUAGCCGACCUGAGAGGGUAAUCGGCCACAUUGGGACUGAGACACGGCCCAAACUCCUACGGGAGGCAGCAGUAGGGAAUCUUCCACAAUGGACGAAAGUCUGAUGGAGCAACGCCGCGUGAGUGAUGAAGGGUUUCGGCUCGUAAAACUCUGUUGUUGGAGAAGAACAGGUGUCAGAGUAACUGUUGACAUCUUGACGGUAUCCAACCAGAAAGCCACGGCUAACUACGUGCCAGCAGCCGCGGUAAUACGUAGGUGGCAAGCGUUGUCCGGAUUUAUUGGGCGUAAAGCGAGCGCAGGCGGUUUUUUAGGUCUGAUGUGAAAGCCUUCGGCUUAACCGGAGAAGUGCAUCGGAAACCGGCAGACUUGAGUGCAGAAGAGGACAGUGGAACUCCAUGUGUAGCGGUGAAAUGCGUAGAUAUAUGGAAGAACACCAGUGGCGAAGGCGGCUGUCUGGUCUGUAACUGACGCUGAGGCUCGAAAGCAUGGGUAGCGAACAGGAUUAGAUACCCUGGUAGUCCAUGCCGUAAACGAUGAGUGCUAAGUGUUGGAGGGUUUCC